rnacentral:rRNA from 1 species
UAGGGAAUCUUCGGCAAUGGACGGAAGUCUGACCGAGCAACGCCGCGUGAGUGAAGAAGGUUUUCGGAUCGUAAAGCUCUGUUGUUAGAGAAGAACGUUGGUAGGAGUGGAAAAUCUACCAAGUGACGGUAACUAACCAGAAAGGGACGGCUAACUACGUGCCAGCAGCCGCGGUAAUACGUAGGUCCCGAGCGUUGUCCGGAUUUAUUGGGCGUAAAGCGAGCGCAGGCGGUUGUUUAAGUCUGAAGUUAAAGGCAGUGGCUUAACCAUUGUACGCUUUGGAAACUGGAGGACUUGAGUGCAGAAGGGGAGAGUGGAAUUCCAUGUGUAGCGGUGAAAUGCGUAGAUAUAUGGAGGAACACCGGUGGCGAAAGCGGCUCUCUGGUCAGUAACUGACGCUGAGGCUCGAAAGCGUGGGGAGCAAACAGG